rnacentral:rRNA from 1 species
CGAAAGGAGAUUAACUACCCAUAAUAUAUUUGAUGGCAUCAAUUAAAUAUUAGAAAACUCAGGUGGAAUAAAGAGUGGGCACGCGCAAGAUUAGAUAGUUGGUAGGGUAACGGCCUACCAAGUCUACGAUCUUUAGGGGCCUGAGAGGGUGAUCCCCCCACACUGGUACUGAGACACGGACCAGACUCCUACGGGAGGCAGCAGUGAGGAAUAUUGGACAAUGGGUGCAAGCCUGAUCCAGCCAUCCCGCGUGAAGGAAUAAGGACCUAUGGUUUGUAAACUUCUUUAUACUGGGAUAAACCUACCCUCGUGAGGGUAGCUGAAGGUACAGUAUGAAUAAGCACCGGCUAACUCCGUG